UACAGAGGUGGCAAGCGUUGUUCGGAAUUACUGGGCGUAAAGGGCGCGUAGGCGGUUCGUUAAGUCCUGUGUGAAAUCCCCCGGCUCAACUGGGGAACUGCACAGGAAACUAGCGGGCUUGAGUUCGGGAGAGGGAAGCGGAAUUCCGGGUGUAGCGGUGAAAUGCGUAGAUAUCCGGAGGAACACCGGUGGCGAAGGCGGCUUCCUGGACCGGACACUGACGCUGAGGCGCGAAA
rnacentral:rRNA from 1 species